rnacentral:rRNA from 1 species
GAUGAACGCUGGCGGCGUGCCUAAUACAUGCAAGUCGAGCGAACGGACGAUGAGUUUGCUUCUCUGAUGUUAGCGGCGGACGGGUGAGUAACACGUGGAUAACCUCCCUAUAAGACUGGGAUAACUUCGGGAAACCGGAUCUAACACCGGAUGAUAUUCUGAACCGCAUGGUGCAAAAGUGAAAUACGGUCUUGCGGUCUCUUAUAGCUGGUUCCCCGCUGCAUUAGCUAGUUGGUAAGUUAACGGCUUAUCAAGGCGACCAUGCAUAGCCGACCUGAGGGGGUGGUCGCCCACACUGGAACUGAGACGCGGUCCAGGGUCCUGCGGGAGGCAGCAGUAGGGUAUCGUCCGCAGUGGGCGGGAGCCUGGCGGAGCGACGCCACGUGUGAGGUAACGGUGUUCGGAUCGUAAAGCUGUGUUAUUGGGGGAAAACAGCUUUGGAAGUAACUGAGCACAUAGUGACGGUACCUAGUCAAGAAGCCACGGCUAACUACGUG